rnacentral:misc_RNA from 1 species
AACAAGGCGUACCUGCGGACCUGCGGAGGGAUCAUUACUGAGUCACGUGCUCAAACAACCCUUCUGUGGACCUGAAAUAAAACCGUUGCCUCGGCGGGCGGUCCCCCCCAAACCAACCCCACGUGGUGGGUUAGGGGAGACCAGACAGUCCGGUACGCUUAAGGCGUCCGGCGCCAGCCGCUGGCCCCAAACAAUUAAACUCUAGUAAUCUUUACCUUCUGAGUUUCAAUGUUUAAAAAU